rnacentral:lncRNA from 1 species
UAACACAACACUUCUCCUUAAGUAAGUGAGUAGAUAUCUAUUUUUCUCAAUUUUCCAGUAAGACCUCAAUUUUGGAGAAUAGUUUUUCCACUUGAUACCCCGAAGGGUUGCAUGCUGUAGCUAUAAGACCAUUAUCUAGUUACUCCUUGAAAAGUCUUAGUCUAUAUCUAUGUGCUUAACCCUUAAGUAGGUUGUUGUAAUACUACUGGCACAUUUAUACUCACAACAUAGCCUCCUAGGAGUCUCAUAUUUAAUUUGAGAUCAUCAAUAUGGAUUUUAUCCACAACUGUUCACAGCUCCAUUAGACAUCACUCAGAAUUUUGCGUCUGACUCUCGGCCUUGCAAUUAUAUUUUGCUUUUUACUUCUGCAUGACACCAAAUUUCCACCGAGAAAUAUGCAACACUUUGAGGUGGAUCACCCGUCGGCCAACAAUUCUGCAUAGUCUGCAUAUGCAUAUACCUCCAUGGAAAAUUUCUCUUCUUGAAAAAUAGUCCUCUACUGGACUCACCAACAAAUUAAUUUUAUCACAAGCUUUUAAUAUUGAUUAAUGAGGACAUCCAAGAAGCUCAAGAACAAGAAGAGGGUGUGAUUAUUAGAAGUAAAGGUAAGAGACUCUAAACGAAAAUGGAAGAAAACAUUGUAGUUUUAAACUUGUUGGAGAGCCCAAUGAAAACAAAUUAUUUCGGAGUCUUCUUGGAAGUGUAGUAAAAUGGUUGCAACUUAGCUUUUGUAUUUUUUAGUUGUCUCCUUUUGUAACUGUGACAAUACAUGAAGCACGAACAUGACAGGACACUGACGUCACCGAUCAGAAUUUGAGAAAAUGACAUAAUUCAAUUUGAUCACGUCUUCGUGUCAUGUCGGUGUCAGACACAAACACAUGUCAGACACACUUUCCAUCAGAAGUGUUCACAACAAAGAAUUAUGCUCUUCUUCCAAUAAGAUUUGCUCACUCCCAACCAAACUUCCAAAAAUACCACUGACGUGAGUUAAGAUGUAUGUGUUAAACUCAGCGUGACUUAAGUCACGCUGAAAAUUCACACUGAACCCCCAGCGUGAGUUAACUCACGCAAAUUAAUAACCUACGUGAGUUAACUUAAGUCACACAAAGGUAUUUUCGAAAGUUUGGUUGGGAGCAAGCAAUUUUUGAUGGGAGAAGAGCAGAAUUUCACAACAAAUGCGACAAUUAAGUUCUAUUUAGAAGUUUAUUGUGUAAUUUGGGCCCAUAGAUUAUUUUUAGUAAUCUAGGAGGUGCCUUUAGCAUUCAACUUGCAUACCUAUAAAUAUGGAAUUCAUACACAUUUGUAAAAGGUUUUUGUUGUUGAGAAUUUAACAAGUUUUUAUACUUGUGAGGUAGAGAGUUCUUCCCAAAAGUUAACAAGCACAAUAUAAUAUGUACAAAUAACAAAAAUUAUGUUUACAACACUCUCUUUAAAGUUGGUGAAUGGAUAUCCAUCGUUCACAUCUUGCAAGUAAGUUGGUUGAAUCUUUCAAUUAAUAGACCCUUUGUUAACACAUCUCCCAGUUGAUGUCCAAAAGCAAUGUACGUUGUAGUUAUCAAGUCACAAGGUUCCCGCACGAGAAUGUGCAAUAGCCUGAAGUGGACUUUUUUUUAAAGAAGCUAAAUUAGCUCACCCAAAUUGGCAUCAGAGAGAGUUGAACUUGAGACCUUGAGGAGGAAGACCUUCUAUCACUCAUCGAACCUGGAUAAUCAGCUCGGUAUAAGUCACCAUAGUUAAACUUCCACAUUUUUGAAUAGGAGUCAUCUCCCUUGCGUAGCCUUGAGAUAUUGCAACACACAUUCCACAGUUUGAGGUGUCUCGCCUUUGGAUCAUGCAUGAAUUGACUUUUAUCAUCGACUGUAUAUUCUAAGUUUGCGCCUUUAUGUGAGCUAAGUAAAUUAACUUCUCCAUUAAUCUCUGGUAUAGAGCCAUGUGAAUCUUGGCACUAUCUCUCCGUAGCUUAUCUUGUGAUUUUGAUCAAUGGGAACACCAACAGUUUUAGAUCAAAGUUUGCUAGUUUCUUGCAAACGAUCGAGCAUGUACUUUCUCUUAAGAGAUAAAAAAUGUCUUGUCAUGUGUAUGUCACCUCAGGACAACAUUUGGGUGACAUUAUGUGCCAAUGUCAUGUGACAUUGGCCAACCACAAUAUAACAAGUGGUUGUUUUCUUUCUCUUUUAUAAGAAUGUUUUGCUUUUUGUUAUUUUUUUAAGUAAAAUGUAACACUUGUCACAUUGUGGUUGACCAAUGUCACAUGACAUUGGCACCCAAGUGAUCUCCUCCUAGGCUCUACUUGAAGCAUAUGCCCUCUAUUGCUUUUGUGGAUCUUCCAACCAAUUCUAUGUCACCCAAGCGCUACCCAAUCUUCCGAACCACACCGAGGGAGGCUAUUUUAGCCCAUGUAAGACUUUCCUCAAUUUGCACACUUGGUUUGUUCCUCCGGUGGGUCUAAAUCUUGGGGGAAUCUCCAUAUACACUUCCUCUAAGUCUCCAUGUAAGAAAGAAUUGUUGACAUCAAACUGGCGUAGGUCUCAACCAUUGCAAGUAGCAAGGUAUUUCACUUGGGUGACUGAGUUUGGUGACUUUGGUGCCUUUGUUGCAGUCUCUCUCUUAACCAACCACUCUCUCAUCUAAAUAUUUUAUUUUGAACAUUUAUCCAUCCUCUAAGUGCACUAAAGUCACCCAAGUAAAGUAAAAUUCGAGUAGCAAGAUCCCAUAAGAUCCCAACAAUGUUCAUGUUCGCCCCUAGAGCAAAUGUCUCCUCACAAUUGACGUCAUAUGUCUUGGGGUAUCUUUUUACCACCAAUCUAGCCUUCUAUCGAUCAAAAGUGUCAUCUGAUUUGUGCUUGACUAUACAAAUCCACCUGCAUCCAACAAAUUUCUAACCUCCUUGCCUCUCAACAAUCUCCCGAGUCUAAUUUAUUUCAAGUGUUUUCAUUUUUUCAUCCAUAGCUUGGACAUAACCUGUAUCUUUCAAUGUUUCUUGAACAUAUGAUACGAUCUCACACAUUCAACAACUGCAAUAAAACUUUGAUGCUGCAGGAAACGAUGAUUAGAGGAGGCAAAUUGAGAAAUUGGAUGUGACACAAGACCCUUUUUCUUUUCUCAAAGAAAUAGGUAAAUUGUCUUGAUCAAUAUCAAAAGUAUAAUAAAUCUUAGAAUCACUAAUAAGAGGAUUAUUUUCAGAACUUACCUCCGGUUCAGGCGAUAAAGGUUGUUUCAAGAGAAGAUCGGGUUUACUUCUUCUCUGAUACACUAGAGUUAGCUCACUAGAGAUUAAUUAAAUAGGCAUGGUAAAUAUUGCUUCGCCCCAAUAUAAUUUUGGGGCAAACAUUUGGAAGAAAAAGACUCGAGCAACUUCAAGUGACGAUUUCUCCUUUCUGCAGCCUUAUUUUGUUGUGGGGUGCCAACUCAUGUAAAUUCAUGGAUAAUGCCUAGUUUACUAUUAUAGCUUGAAAGGCUAUGAUUGACGUAUUUUUGCCAUUGUUAGAACGAAUCUUUUAAUGUCAUUUGCAAAUUGUCUAUCAUAAAAAAACACCACGUUACUCAAGUACAAUCAUCUAUAAGAGAAACAAAUUAUCUCGCACUAGAAAUAUUAGAAAUAGGGACAUGUCCCCAAACAUUGGAAUGAAUAAGAUCAAAUGAUUCCACAUUAUUAGUAAGACUAGAAGAAAAAAUAGUUUGUGCUUAGAAAACUGACAAAUGCCACACUUAAAAACUGAAUACGUUGUUUUAAAAGAUGGAAAACUCAUCAAGGGAAAAAGAGGAUGGCCGAUACAUUUGAGCUACCACACAAUUAUGAUCUUUGGUAAGCUUACGAAUGGAGAUAAGGUUAUGAGACUCUUGGAACAUGUAGCACAUCUUGCCGUCAAAAACAAGGUUGAAGUUCAAAAGUCACAGAGCCAACAACACAAGAAACAUCAGCGACUGCAAUAUAAUGAAUACUAGGAGAGUAUGAAGUAAACAAUUUUGUCUGAGACGUUGUGAGGCUGGUGGCUUCAGAGUCCAAAAUCCAGGCAUCCAUUAGGCGUAAUACCAGAGGCAGUAAGGGAUCAAGAUCAAAAACUCUUAUCAACCAUAUGAGUGACACCGAACAUGAUCUCACCAACAUCUUCCAUUUAAAAGGAAGAGAGCAUCGGGGAGAGGGAGAGAGAGAAAAAAAAAAUGCCAACAAAAGAGAACUGUUGUUAAACACCUUUAAUCUGCACACCUCAUUCUCUCCAUUUGUGGGUUUGCACUGGAAUCUCCAUAUACACUACAUCUAAAUAUCAAUUCAAGAAAGCAUUUUUUUUAACAUCAAAUUGGUGCAUCCCUGAUGUAUUUGAAUUGCACCACAUUGUCCAAUUCUUUGACAUGAAAUUGUAGCUCACUUAGGCUUGCAUAAUUUUUUAUCAGUUUAGUUUGUGUGAUUGAUUUUUCUUUUGUUUUGUGCAUAUGGGAGGGGCAUUGUGGCUUUCAAAAAUGCUGGAAAUCAUAAGAUGCAAUGCUGGGACAAGUAUGGAAGCAAACCAAAUAAAAAAAGGAUUGAUAAGUACAGUCCUUCAAAAUCAUAUCUUGAGCAACCCAUUACUUUCAACAUUAAUAAAAGUAACGGUCAAGACACAUUUAUUAUCAUAGUGGUAACCCCGAUCCUGAAAGGCAUUCUAGAUAAUGAAAAACCGUUUUUUGAUUUCUUGCAAUUUUAUUCUUGUCGUUAUUUGUUCUUAUUACUUUUUUUCUGCUGGUAUUACC